CCUACGGGUGUCAGCAGUGAGGAAUAUUGGUCAAUGGGCGGGAGCCUGAACCAGCCAAGUCGCGUGAGGGAAGACGGUCCUAUGGAUUGUAAACCUCUUUAGGCGGGGAGCAAUGCCGGGCACGCGUGCCCGGAGGGAGAGUACCCGCAGAAUAAGCAUCGGCUAACUCCGUGCCAGCAGCCGCGGUAAUACGGAGGAUGCAAGCGUUGUCCGGAAUCAUUGGGCGUAAAGAGUUCGUAGGCGGCAUGUAAAGUCAGGUGUUAAAGGCGCAGGCUCAACCUGUGUAUGGCACUUGAUACUUGCAAGCUGGAAUGCGGUAGAGGUAAAGGGAAUUCCUUGUGUAGCGGUGAAAUGCUUAGAUAUCAGGAGGAACAUCGGUGGCGUAAGCGCUUUACUGGGCCGUAAUUGACGCUGAGGAACGAAAGCCAGGGUAGCAAAUGGGAUUAGAUACCCCUGUAGUC
rnacentral:rRNA from 1 species